UACAUGGGGUGCAAACGUUGCUCGGAAUUAUUGGGCCUAAAGCAUCCGUAGCCGGUUCUACAAGUCUUCCGUUAAAUCCAGCUGCUUAACAGAUGGGCUGCGGAAGAUACUAUGGGGCUAGGAGGCGGGAGAGGCAAGCGGUACUCGAUGGGUAGGGGUAAAAUCCGUUGAUCCAUUGAAGACCACCAGUGGCGAAGGCGGCUUGCCAGAACGCGCUCGACGGUGAGGGAUGAAAGCUGGGGGAGCAAACCGG
rnacentral:rRNA from 1 species